rnacentral:rRNA from 1 species
UACGUAGGGUGCAAGCGUUAAUCGGAAUUACUGGGCGUAAAGCGUGCGCAGGCGGUUUUGUAAGUUUGUCGUGAAAUCCCCGGGCUCAACCUGGGAAUUGCGAUGAAGACUGCAAGGCUAGAAUCUGGCAGAGGGGGGUAGAAUUCCACGUGUGAGCAGUGAAAUGCGUAGAGAUGUGGAGGAACACCGAUGGCGAAGGCAGCCCCCUGGGUCAAGAUUGACGCUCAUGCACGAAAGCGUGGGGAGCAAACAGG